rnacentral:rRNA from 1 species
AAAUUGAAGAGUUUGAUCAUGGCUCAGAUUGAACGCUGGCGGCAGGCCUAACACAUGCAAGUCGAACGGUAACAGGAAGCAGCUUGCUGCUUUGCUGACGAGUGGCGGACGGGUGAGUAAUGUCUGGGAAACUGCCCGAUGGAGGGGGAUAACUACUGGAAACGGUGGCUAAUACCGCAUAACGUCGCAAGACCAAAGAGGGGG